AUUGAACGCUGGCGGCAGGCCUAACACAUGCAAGUCGAGCGGAUGAAGGGAGCUUGCUCCUGGAUUCAGCGGCGGACGGGUGAGUAAUGCCUAGGAAUCUGCCUGGUAGUGGGGGAUAACGUCCGGAAACGGGCGCUAAUACCGCAUACGUCCUGAGGGAGAAAGUGGGGGAUCUUCGGACCUCACGCUAUCAGAUGAGCCUAGGUCGGAUUAGCUAGUUGGUGGGGUAAAGGCCUACCAAGGCGACGAUCCGUAACUGGUCUGAGAGGAUGAUCAGUCACACUGGAACUGAGACACGGUCCAGACUCCUACGGGAGGCAGCAGUGGGGAAUAUUGGACAAUGGGCGAAAGCCUGAUCCAGCCAUGCCGCGUGUGUGAAGAAGGUCUUCGGAUUGUAAAGCACUUUAAGUUGGGAGGAAAGGCAGUAAGUUAAUACCUUGCUGUUUUGACGUUACCGGCAGAAUAAGCACCGGCUAACUUCGUG
rnacentral:rRNA from 1 species